CUGUAGUUCACACACCACCACCAUGGAGAGAGAUAAAAUGGGGGAGAGAAGAGAAUCUGGAAUAUGUGAAAACGUAUCAACCGACAAAUGCAGACGUGUCGAAACUGCGAAUCAUGAUUUAUGGACCAGUCGGGGCAGGAAAGUCCAGCUUUAUCAACUCCAUUCACACAGCUGUUUGUGGAAGACCAUCCAACAUUGCUACUCCAAGCUCCAAAACUCAAGAUCUGUUGAGCUUCACAACCAGACUUCAGAUGAAGAGUCUGUAGUGAGUCGAGCUCCUGCACCACCAGACUAAAUCUGACAGAGACGCCUGUGUUGGCACUGGUGGAUUAUGAAUGGCACUGAGUCGCUUUUGGAGUUUUUUGUCAUUAAAUUAAAUUGUAGACAAUAAUUUAUCCUAAAACUAAUCAGAUUAAACAUAAUUGACCCUCACCUGGCACAAGUGUGAUUUAUAGUAUAUGAUUCUUGAGUCGGGACAAAACAGGUUU